rnacentral:rRNA from 1 species
UACGGGGGGGGCAAGCGUUGUUCGGAUUCACGGGGCGUAAAGGGUGCGUAGGUGGCUGGGUAAGUUUGAUGUGAAAUCUCCGGGCUUAACCCGGAAAUGGCAUUGAAUACUAUUCGGCUAGAGGUUUGGAGGGGGGACUGGAAUUCUCGGUGUAGCAGUGAAAUGCGUAGAUAUCGAGAGGAACACCAGUGGCGAAGGCGAGUCCCUGGACAACACCUGACACUGAGGCACGAAAGCUAGGGGAGCAAACAGG